rnacentral:pre_miRNA from 1 species
UUGAAUGUGAAUUGAUUUAUGUUUGGAUAGAUACACUUAUUUAAAAGUGAUUCUUAUGAGUUGAUGUUGUUUGGAUAA